CAGUAGCCGCGGUAAUACGGAGGGUGCAAGCGUUAAUCGGAAUUACUGGGCGUAAAGCGCACGCAGGCGGUUUGUUAAGUCAGAUGUGAAAUCCCCGAGCUUAACUUGGGAACUGCAUUUGAAACUGGCAAGCUAGAGUCUUGUAGAGGGGGGUAGAAUUCCAGGUGUAGCGGUGAAAUGCGUAGAGAUCUGGAGGAAUACCGGUGGCGAAGGCGGCCCCCUGGACUAAGACUGACGCUCAGGUGCGAAAGCGUGGGGAGCAAACAGGAUUAGAUACCCGUGUAGUCCCUGUCUCUUAUAC
rnacentral:rRNA from 1 species